AACCUGGUUGAUCCUGCCAGUAGUCGUAUGCUUCGUUCAAGGGCUAAGCCAUGCAGGUCUCAGUGCACAUGGAACUUCAAACAGUUGGUCUGUGAAUGGCUCCUUACAUCAGCAGUCAUCCCAGUGACAGAGUGUGAUUGAUCCCCUCGGCUCCCACUGGGAGAGAGGACCUGGCUGAGGACCUAUUUGGACAUCCUCAAAAACCCUUGUGGCUAAUACACGAAUGCGCAAACCCGCCACCUGUUCAUGCCAGUAGUGACCAGAGUAAGUUCCCCACCUCACCAUGGGUGGGGCCGGGUGCUGGCCGGUGGUGGGUUGCAGACAGCUGGAACCCCAAGACUGGUGUCAGAGCAGUGUGGACCCCUCCGGGGGUCCCAGAAUGGCAGCUAAUCCAGGCAGAAUCAGGCUGUUCCUGUGCGUACCGUCUCUCUCCUCCUAGCACAGGAGCAAAAGCAAAUUGUGUGUGGACCCCAGCGUUGGCUGACCUCUGGUCCUGCCUCCGGGCAGGCAGAGAAACUGCAAAAGGGCUUGAUCACUCAGAACUUCUGACCUAUCAGCUGUGACUGUGGUGUAGCGGACCACAGUGGCCUUGACGGGUGACAGAGAAUCAGGGUUCGAUUCUGGAGAGGGGGCCUGAGAGAUGGCCACCACUACCAAGGUGGGCAGCAGGCGCGCAAAUUGCCCAAUACAGGAUCACUCCUUUGUGAGGCAGCGACGAACUGCAGCAAGCCCUGCUGGGUACUUUUCUGGCAGGAAUGGAAUGGAUGCUAUGCAAACACAGUCAUGAGCAACAACUGGAGGGCAAGUCUGGUGCCAGCAGCCGCGGUAAUUCCAGCUCCAGAGGCGUACACUAACAUUGCUGCUGUUAAAACACUUGUAGUCUGCCUGAGGGCUGCAGGUCUGCCAAGAGGCCUUGUGGGGGUCCUCUUCCCGACAGGCCCCACACCCUGUGCGUGCGUGUGGUGGGUUGGGCGGCCCGCCCCUUCGGGGGUUUGUGGUCCCCUCCCCCGCCGCCGCCAGGCGUGGUGGUCUGUGACGGAAGGCCCCACCGGAUCCAACCCUUGGACAGUAUGUCCCUGCUCCCAACCGUUUCACUUCCCAAAGCAGAUCGAUGGUGAUGGAUUGCCCCUGCUGUAAGCCCCCUUCGGUGGGGGUCAAAGUGGUGCAUGCACCCAAGGCUUGCUGCGUUAACAGUGACCCUGUCGCAAGGCAAAGAUGGAGCCAGUCGCCCCAUACCAAUCGUGCGAAUGGAAGAACUCCAGCCCACCCCCGGGGCCCACCAUCGGGCAACCCUGGAAAACUCAGUGUGUUCCAAGCAUCCUGGCCCGCGACCGGCCUCUGGCCGGUCCAACUUCUCUAGAAAUGAGGACGAAUGCUCAUCCAUGGAAUUGCACAGCAUCGACCAGAUUCGUGCCCCACCGGCGGGUGGUGGGCCCCACACACAAAGCGGGCGUGUGGACCCUGCGCCGCGGUUCGGUCCCCCAUGGGACCGGUCCAAGGCCUGGGUCCCCGCCCGUCGCGGGGCCUGCCCCCUACCCGCCCGGGGGGGUACCAGGACCCCCCUCAGCCCUCCGGGGCAGGGGGUGGUGUUCUGGUGGCAAACCCAUUCUGCCAGUCUUGGUGCCAAUCAGGAGAAUGUGGGGCUGCGCCCAGGCCCGCAAGGCGCGGAAGGGAGCCUCUACCGUCGACUGGCGGUUUUGGCCCACCCCUCCCGCCCUUCGGUCUGUGUUUCCCAAGCGCAGCCCUUGACGUCAGUGAUGGGACUUGCUCAGGGUGGAAGGUACAGCAACGCCAGAGGUGAAAUUCUUAGACCGCUGCUAGACCAACUGCAGCGAAGGCGUUCUGCAAGUGCAUGUCCGUCGAUCAAGAAUGAGAGCUUGGGGAACGAAGAUGAUCAGACACCGUUGUAGUCCAAUGCUGUAAACCAUGUCRGCUCGAGGUUGGAUGGGCAAGACCUUCUCGCUACCCAUUCAGCCCCAUGCCCCCUUCAACGAGAAAUCCAAGCCUGUGGAUUCAGGGGGGAGUACUGUUGCAAGGCUGAAACUUAAAGGAAUUGACGGAAUGGCACCACAAGGUGUGGAGUAUGCGGCUUAAUUUGACUCAACACGGGGAAUGUUACCAGGUCAGGACAUUGCCAGGAUGGACAGAUUGAGAGCUCUUUCUUGAUUCUUUGGAUGGUGGUGCAUGGCCGCUCCUGAUUGGUGGAGUGAUUUGUCUGGUUGAUUCCGAUAACGAGUGAGAUCUCUGCCUACCUGUAGGCCACCCACUCGCAUCUGUAGGGUUCGGAGCUGGAUUGGAAGGUCAGUGCCCCACGGCCCCGGCCGUCGGCGGUCCCGACCCGCCCCCACAUUGGAUGCAACAGGCUGUGGUGCAUGGGAAGGUCUCUCUCUUCGGCGGUCUGGGACACAGGGACAACACAGGGACGGCUCCGGCCGGCCCUCCCCUGCCCUCCCCUCCGCCCGUGGGGUCUGGUCAACCCCCGCAGUGCGUCCAGAAAGGUGUGGUGUGGCGGUCGGGUGCCCCCAAGACCGACCGCCAGGGCCUGUGUUCCCACGUGGCGCCGGUCCUCUCCGCCAGCCUCCGGCCCGAGAGUGGGCUGUGUCGGGCUCCCAAGCCUGGGUUUCCGGCAUUAGCUUCCCUAAGGCGCUGUGGCUGCGUCAAAAGCCAUGCAUGCGAGAGCCAACAGCAGGUCUGUGAUGCUCCCAGAUGUCCUGGGCCGCACGCGCACUACAUUGACACAGUGAAGGUGCCCUUUGUGCUUGCCCCUCUCUUUCCCGAUGGGGCCCCUGACCAGAAGUGGUUGGGAAAUCAUGCAAGUCUGUGCUGUGCUGGGGAUAGAUGUUUGCAACUGUCUGCCUUGAACGAGGAAUACCUAGUAAGGCUCUGUCAUCAGCGGAGUCUGAUUGUGUCCCUGCCAUUUGUACACACCGCCCGUCGUUGCUACCGAUGGGAUCAGAACAGAGCCCCGAGGCGUCCCCAAAGUGCUGCCGGCCCUGGCUUUUUCCGAAGGGUCCAGGGACAGGUGUGUGGCACCAUCCACCCCUGGCCCGAACAGUGGGGACCUGCGGGUCCCCCCGGGGGCAAACCUGGGCGAUGUUCAGUUCCUAGAGGAAGCAAAAGUCGUAACAAGGUUGUUGUAGGUGAACCUGCAGAAGGAUCAAAA
rnacentral:rRNA from 1 species